rnacentral:lncRNA from 1 species
AUGAAGCUUCAUUCAGCAACCUUUCCUGAGACCCACUUUGUUGGAGGAACUGUCCUAGGCAUUGGGAACACAGAGACAUCCGCUAGCUCACCUGGAGGGAAGCUAGCUGUCAUCAAAAUAAGCGAUUACCAAUCUGUUUACGGCGUUUGUGAGGGGACAGAGGGCUCGCAGCCUCGGAGGAAGGCCGCACGGAUCCCGAAUUGGGCCGCGUGGAAUCCGCUCACAGCACCUCCUGGCCGGAGCGCCUUACCACGUCCACAGAGAACCGCCAGCUGGUCGCCAGCUGGUCGCCAGGAGGAAGCCCCGGGAAUGGAGAAGUGAGAAGGUUUCAGCAUCGUAACGAAGUGCACAGCCCCUCUGACCGUGGCCGGAAAACCGCGAAUGGAAAAAAAAAAAAAACUGCCCUGAGAAACCCUUCGAGAACUUGCGCAAUAUCAGUACCAGGGCUUGAUUUCCUUACCCGAAUUAAAACACACACUUUUCUUUUUAAUUGCAGACUCCUCUUCCGUGCUAGUUCAAGGUUCGGAAUCUCGCAAAGGGCUUAGUCGGGAAAGGCGAGACGUGCGGGUCCUCUGCUGUUUGGUUUUCAAGGAGGGCGUCGGUGCGCCUGCCGAACACAGCUGAGCCGAGGAGAGGAUGGGGUCCCUCGGUUCCCGUCAGCCUGGGCCCUGGGGCCGCGCCGGCGUUUCCAGGCAGCUCCUCUGGUGCCCUGAGACCCGCUAACUUGUGUGACGGCUCUGAGCUCGAUUUCCUCAUCUGCAAACUGUAGCCAUGGGUAGCGCUUCUCUCCCAGGGCGUUGUGAAGAGGAUAUGAGAUUAGGGUCAAGAGAAUCACCUUGUAUAGCCUUAACGCACUAUUUCAAUCUUUGCUUAACUGUUAACUAAGAGAAUCACUUUGGUUAACUAUUAACUAAAAGAAUCACUCAUAUAGAAAUGUCAAUGUCUACCCCAAACUAACUUUCCCCCUCUCUUUUCUCACUUCUUCUUUUUCACAGAAUCAGAUUACACAUUUUGUUAUUAGAUUAAGUCAAUAAACAUCUAGUGAGUUCUACA